CAAUAUACUAUCCACUUUACAGCUGAAUCCUUGCCGUAGGUCAUCUCCAUUAUUGGUCUCAGUGAAACCAGGAACGCGGGACGUACGGCCGAAUCGCGUCCUGAGUCGUUCGUUCCGCGAUUCGGAACGAACGCGACCCAAAUCUCUGCGGUUCGCAUCUCAGUACGGUGGUCAUGGCGUUUCCUUUUUCUUCUUCAAGGGUCGACACUAGAGGACCGAGAGAAAGAGGAGGAAAGAAAAGAAGAUGAAAAAUCGCAGAUCUAGGGUUGAUUCGAAAACCUAGAUCUGGAAAUUGAAGAGGAAAAUGCUUAUACUAGGAUAAAUUACCAUGGGGCUUUGGUUCUAGCAAGAAUUCCGAGCCAAAUGGUGUUGUCAGAUCCCCACAUCUCCGGCAGCGGCGGUCGACAGUUGGCUUUCUCUCAUUCUUUCCCUAGCCUCCGACAUUUCCUUUCUCUGUCUUCCUCUCUUUUUUUUUCAUUUAAUGGGCCUCCAGUCAUUUUUUUCUAAUUACGUGGGUGUGCCCGUCCCCCUUCUCUUUAUUUUUUUUCUUUUUGACUUUUUCUUAAAGUUUUACCAAUUAGGGUUUUAAAGAAAGCAUUAAAGUGGGCUAGGUAUAGUUGGGCCUUUAAAAAAAACUGUCAUAACUCAUAACACCAAACGUUCCCGAUUCACUCAAGGUAGCGUUUCCCGUUUCCGUUUCCGUCCCGCGUUUUGUAUCGAAUUUCGUUCAUUGUAUCAUUGAUCGGUCUUAUGUAAGCGUAGUGUUUCUAUUCCAGCUUUUCAACAACAAAAUCUGACCCAAUUAACAAAAAAACUUUCAGGGAUUCGUCUGAACCAAUUGAUGCUGGCUCCUCCUUUCGCCAACCUGUGAGUUUGUUUCUUGGAGUGUCAAAAACCCCAUCUCAGAGUAGAACUAGUGUUGAGUAUAAGUUUUCAUCAGAUUAUGUGUUGAGGGAGCAGUAUAGGAAUCCUUGGCAUAGGAUUAGGAUGGGAAAAUUGGUUGAGGAUCUUGAUGCUCUUGCUGAUACUAUUUCAUAUAAGGUGGUAUUUUAGAUUUUCCUUUUGUUGAUUUUGAAUGUUUGAUGCAGAAUUACAUUCAACUGCAGAAUUAACAAAGUCAACUACUGCAUUGGAAGAUAAUAGUAAAGAGAAUAGUGGAUCUGUUGCAGAAAAUGUUUUGUCAUCUGCUUCUGGGUACCCUAUAACCCGACCUGAAAAAACAUUGCUAAGAUGAUGGAAAUAAUCGCGGAUUAGAGUAGCAAACAUGCAUGAUACAUCGAGAAGCAUGCCUACAUGGAUAAUGGAAUUGAAGAAUAAUGAAAGAAUGACCUUAAGAUUGAUUUAGGUUUAUUUAAUGAGAGAUAUAUAUAUUAUGAUUUUAUGAUUUAA